rnacentral:tRNA from 1 species
GUGGGUAUAGCUCAGCAGUAGAGCACAUGUUUAGCAUGCAUGAGAUCCUGGGUUCAAUUCCCAGAACCUCUG